UACGUAGGGGGCUAGCGUUGUCCGGAAUCAUUGGGCGUAAAGAGCGUGUAGGCGGUCCGGUAAGUCCGCUGUGAAAGUCGGGGGCUCAACCCUCGAAUGCCGGUGGAUACUGUCGGGCUAGAGUGCGGAAGAGGCAAGUGGAAUUCCUGGUGUAGCGGUGAAAUGCGCAGAUAUCGGGAGGAACACCCGUAGCGAAGGCGGCACUCUGGGCCGGUACUGACGCUGAGGAGCGAAAGCGUGGGAGCAAACAGG
rnacentral:rRNA from 1 species